rnacentral:piRNA from 1 species
UGAUGAUGUGUGAUUUCUGUCGAGGG